rnacentral:rRNA from 1 species
GUACACACCGCCCGUCACACCAUGAGAGUUGGGAAUACCCGAAGCCUGUGAGCUAACUUUUAGAGGCAGCAGUCGAAGGUAGAAUCAAUGAUUGGGGUGAAGUCGUAACAAGGUAAC